rnacentral:rRNA from 1 species
CCUAGUUGAUCCUGCCAAUAGUCAUAUGCAUGUCUCAAAUAUUAAGCCAUGCAUGUCUAAGUACGAACUAAUUCAGAUUGUGAAACUGCGGAUGACUCAUUAAAUUAGUUAUAGUUUUUUUAUCGUACCAUACUACUCAGAUAACCAUAGUAAUUCUAGAGUUAAUACGUGCACCAAGUCUCGAAUAUUUGAAAGGGAUGCAUUUUUUAAAUAAAAGGCUAAUGCAGGCUUGCUCACUUCUUUGGUGAAUCAUGAUAACUGGAAGGAUCGCACAACCUUUGUGUUAGCGAUGCUUCAUUCAAAUUUCUGCCCUAUCAACAUUUGAUGGUAGGAUAGAGGCCUACCAUGGUGGUGAUGGGUGAUGGAGAAUUAAGGUUUGAUUCUGGAGAGGGAGCCUGAGAAACAGCUACCGCAUCCAAGGAAGGUAGCAGGCAUGCAAAUUACCCAAUCCUAACAUGGGGAGGUAGUGACAAUAAAUAACAAUAUUGGGCACAUCGAGUAUGGUAAUUAGAAUGAGUACAAUCUAAAUCCCUUAACGAGGAUCCAAUAGAGGGCAGUUCUGGUGCCAGUAGCCGUGGUAAUUCUAGCUCCAAUAGCAUAUAAUUAAGUUGUUACAGUUAAAAAGCUAGUAGUUGGAUCUCGGCUUGUAAAGGUUGGUCGGCCUACUCAGUGUGCACCUGCCCUUUUGUCCCUUUUGUUGGUGGUGUGCUCCUCGCCUUAAUUUGCUAGGUCACAGCUCCAGUGCUAUUACUUUGAAAAAAUUAGAGUGCUCAAAGCAAGCUUAUGCUCUGAAUACAUUAGCAUGGAAUAACGUGAUAGGAGUCUGGUCCUAUUGUGUUGGCCUUCGGGACUAGAGUAAAUAUUAAUAGGGACUAUUGGGGGCAUUUAUAUUUCAUUGAUAGAGGUGAAAUUCUUGGAUUUAUGAAAGAAGGACCACUGUGAAAAAAUUUGCCAAGAAUGUUUUCAUUAAUCAAGAACAAAAGUUGGGGGCUCGAAGAUGAUCAGAGACUGUCUUAGUCUCAACCAUAAAUGAUGCCAACCAGGGAUUGAUGGAUGUUGCUCCAAGGACUCUGCCAACACCUUCUAAGAGAUCAGAGUGUUUGGGUUCUGGGGGAGUAUGGUCGCAAGGCCGAAACUUAAAGGAAUUGACAAAAGGGCACCACGAGGAGUGGAGCCUGCAACUUAGUUUGACUCAACACAGGGAAACUUUAGGUCUAGACAUAGUAAGGAUUGAUAGAUUGACAGCUCUUUCUUGAUUUUAUGGGUGGUGGUUCAUGGCCAUUCUUAGUUGGUGGAGCAAUUUGUCUGGUUAAUUCUGAUAACUAAUGAGACCUCUGCUUGCUAACUGGCUACAUGGAGGUUCCCCUUUGUGGCCAGUUUCUUAGGGAGACUGUUACACUGAAAUUUCUCACCAUGGCUAUCUGCAGUUAAUAUGGCUCCAUCAAUAGUCAUAUUGUCCUCCUUGUCAAGCCUCAAACCUUUGCUCUUCAUGUCAAACUUCAAAAAGAGAGAAAGUCACUUAAAAUCAUGUUUAUCUCUGGGUACGCAGGUUCUCUCUACCUUGCCUGCGUGUACGCACUCCAAACACACUGUACCUGCGUACUGGUACGCUCUGUAAGCUAAAGGUUGGGUGCGUACCCCUGUAAAGGUCAAAAGGCGCGAGUUUCAUCUUUAAAAAGUUACUUGUGGUCACUUCUAGAGCCUUCUGGA